GCUUAGAGGAGCUGCCUACGAGAAGAAUUGACGAGGUAUGAAUCUCUGGCAGUAUGGAAUCCUUGCACUAUAAUGAUAAUAGAAUUCUUGAUAUAUAAGACAGCACAUCUUCACAUCAGCAUGAACCUGUUGCAAGACCUGCCUGGGAGUCUCAGUGGAAGUUCUAGCAUGUGCCCUGGGGCUGCACAGCUGCUGGCACAGCUAGCCCAGCAUCUCACCUCACUUGCCAGCAGAAAGUUAUUGUACUUCUGAAAAUGGGUGAGAAAAGUAAACUAUUUGCUCUGCUUGAACAUAUGUACGUUAAACAGAUGCAGCUUUCCCCCUUUGCCUUGUUGCUUCUUAACCCAAAUCGUGCCACUGAUUUAGUUUAUGCUACAGCUCUCUAAAAGAGUUGCAUUGACUCAGUUGAAGUGGACAAUGGGAACGACCGUGAUUUCUGCUGGAACAAAAAAAAAUCAGCACUAAGGAUCCACCUCAUGCAUGACAAAGACCAAGAGAGACACCAGAUAAGCCUUUGGGAUAAUUACUUUGUGGGUGAGAAGCAGUAAUGUAUUUUCUUUUUCCAGUGAAGUGAAGUUACAAAGCUACGAUUUAAAUACUUCAGGACUACAGAAAUGGGAGGGGAAGUGCAUCGGGAUAUAAAACAUAUGAAAUGUUUCAUGGUAAAGAAUAGCUGAGAAAUGUGCAGGAAUAACAGAACUUCAGCUUCACAUCUGUUCUUAAAUAUGUAAAUCCGUUAAACUCCACUGGACAUUUUCUACUGACAAAUCUGGGCAGGCUGGACUUUCUAUUAAAACUAUUUUCUCUCCAUAACUAGCUACAGGAACUUCAAAGCAAAAUGUUCUGUUCUUCACUUUGGUGUCCCACUGUCCUUUUGGUGCUCAGUGUCCCACACAACACUGAUGCUAGAUGAGAGGUAUUUGCUCUGAAAUCUCUCUUCCCUAAAGAGGGAGCAUCUGCAAACACAGUGGCAACACAGCUCGGUGGCUUUGAAGACAGGGAAAUGCCAUCUUUUUUCUGAAGCCUGGAAUACAACCACCUUCCCACUGGCCAUGUCACCGUGGCUGCUGCCAGCUGAGGCUAAGGCUCUGUAAACAGAGCUCAGAGAGGUGGGGAGGCUGCUUUGUGCUGCCAGCACUGAUGUCCCCUGCAGUGGGUACCUCAGCCAGGACACCACUGACAGCACUGCUCACCUUGCAGAGCAUGUGCUGCUCUCCAGGCAAAUCUCUGCUAGCAGAAGCCUGCACGGGCAUAUGGGCUGUCCACAGCAUCCUUCGCAAACUGCUCAAACACAGACUCUCUGAUUUUGAAGCUCUGUGUGGGUUGCUACGUUUUUGCGGCAUUUCUGAAAGUUGAUGAUUUCCCGCUGAGCCCCAGAAUAACGCUGUAGGGUUAUGGGUGUGAUCAUGGUUUGUGCCGUAUCAAUAGGGAAGUGAAGGGAUUGCACAGGGAGGGCAGAACCAGGGUGAUGUGAGUUACUAGGGGGCAGUUUGGCUCUGGUGGCAUUUAGAGUGUGACACAGAUCUGAAGAGAGAUUGUUUCAUGGAGUAAACACAGCAUGACCUGGUUCCUGGUGCAGUUAGGUAAGGUGUCUACUCUGACCUUCCCUCCCCUCCCCAAAACCAAUGACCAAUCUUUACAUCUACCAGGGGAAAUACAGAUAAAUAUACUGAUAUAUGUCUAUGGAUCCACAUAAAUAUUCUGCUGGUCUAGUGAGGAUCUUCAGGGGCAAAAGCCUUCCAGAACAGGGUUGCAAGAAGCAGCACAUCCCACCAUGUCCCUACCCCUCCAUCUCCAAUAUCCACCAUGGAAAAGGACAGCAGUCGUGCAAGUGUCACUGCUCAUCAACAUCCCAGCACUGGGGAGACACAAAGAGCACCAGAAUUCACUCUAAUCAUCUCUGUCCACUGAGUGUGGUUGCAGAAAGUCAGAUGUGAUCAACCUCAGAGCACGAGCGAUUGCUGCAGUGCUUCUCCUUUGUCACGUCAGAGGCAAACCAGGGGCUGUGUGGAUGCAGCCUGUUCCUCUGGAAGCAGGUCCACAGAGCAGCCUGGCUCAGCGUGGUGAGCCUCCUCCAGCAGCAGGCAGCUAAACAUUUCAUUGGGUUUCUACCUAUCAGUGUCCUCCACAGCAGUUUCUGGUGACUCAUUUAACAGGUGCUGAGCAGGGUGUGCCUUGGCAAUGGAUUCUGUAGAAAUCACUCACUGGACAUAUGCAGAUUAACAGAGAAGGACACCAGCUAAUUAAGUUUUUGUUACAUGCACAAAAUGAAUGCUUUAUGGGAUGGAUCUCAUUUUCUAACCAAGCCUGUGGGUAGGAUUUCCCUCCAAGUUCCUGCACUAGAAUGUGGAAUUGAAAUCUUUUCAGAAGAAUCCCAAACUGGCAUGGGCUUGAAGUCAGAGACUAUAAUUUCUGUCUGUUUAGGAGUUCAGUGGGCCCAUACUUGGCUUUAGACAUCUGAUUUAUGCCAAAUGCAGCCUGCUCUGGGCUUGCAAACACGAUCUGUUUGUGCAGGAAUAAGCUGGAGAUGAAGCCUGGCUCUCCUCUCUCGCUGUAAACAGAUCUCCCAGGGUGGGAGUGUAAACUGCUACUUUUUUUUUCUCCUUUUUUUUUGUCCUGUAACAUGGGUAAUGUUUUCUUGGAUAGAAGAACUUCUCAGCUAGCAGCGUCCAAAAUCCAACGGUCACACCAUGGUGGAAACACAGAAGGAUCCUGUCUCACUGAAAGAACUGAGAAGGAAAAAAGGAUCCUCGUGGAGCAAGAGGCAGGUUUUGGCAUCCAGAGCAGACAGGAAGAUGGGGAGCAGGCUGGGCCAACGCAGGUUGCUGGGGUGAUGUGGGCACAUACUCAAAGAAAUGGAGCAGGGCUCAUCCUUUCCACAAGUCAGCUGAGGGGCUCUGCAGAUGGACAGGCAAAGGCCAGGCCAGUAUUUCUGAAAAGACUGCAGUGGUGUAUUAAUGCAGAGAGUGCUCUUCUGCUUGAGGAGGCAAACAUAAAAGACAGACAAGCACUUUGGACAAAAAGCUGUCAUUUCAGGGUACGCCUGCUCUCUGGAAGCGUGAGGACCAGCACGCCUGACAGCAACCACCAGGAGCUCUUCCCCAAGCCUGUCCAAGGCUUGUCAGAGCACAAUCAGCUCAGAGCAGGCUCACAGUGGUGGGGCAGGUGGGCUGCCAUGCGCUGCUGUGCCAUGCCAUGCAUGGGAGAGGGUCCCCAGGGAGCAGCUCCCCAGCCUGCACCCCCUCUGAUGGAUGCACACUGCUGCUCUCCUGCCAUUAGCACAUUUUAACAUCAUUAAUCUUUCAGGAAAAUUCUGCAGUAUUCUAAAGCACACCCUGGGUAGCAAGUUAAAUUUGUGUGUUUAAACAGAGUCUUUUCACUGUGAAGAUGCAGCAACAGUACUGCUUGCUGGGGAUUUGAUGAUGUCAGCGUUGGGGACAGGAUGAGGAAAAUGGAAAAUCUUCACCAGAGCUCGCCUCCUCUGCAAAAUCAAGUUGCAAUUUUCAAGCAUACACCACAAGGAUUUGAGCAUGCAACUCUUGUGCCCCUCAGAGCAGUCAAUAUGAGUCCAUGGACAUUCUACACUGCUGCUGUUCUCCCAUAGGUACUGAGGGAGGAGGAGGAUUUAGAAAUUAGGUGCUGGAGGUGAGUGGGAGGAAAAGGGAGAGAAGGAAGGUAGAUACAGAGGUUAUAAUUACAUGAAAACUGCUGUUGAGGUAAUUUUUUUUCUGGAGAAUACUGCAGAACUCAACAGGGAAAAAACCACAACAUGCUGUGAGCACUGAAGAGAAUUAAGAGAAAAUUGCAUCCUUACUGUACAAUGCUGUAAUCAUCCUGAGAUCAGAGCAAGAAAGACUUGCUUUCAGUGGUCACUUUAGGGAACAUUUAAACAAACUGGACAUAGGCAGGCCCAUGAGACUCCAUGGGAUGUACCCAUGAGUGCUGAGGGGCUAGGCAAUGUCACUGCAAGGUCACUCUGUCACCUUGGCAGUCAGGAGAGAUACCUGAAGACUGGAAAAAAGAAAACAGUCCUCCUCUUUUAGGAGAGCCAAAAAUAAGGUCUGGGAAACUGGUAAAGAAGACCAAUGGUGUCAUGGACUGCAUGAGACAAAUCUUUGCCAGCAGGUCCCCUCCCAUGCCUGGGGGGCUUUGUCCAGUUCAGGGUUCACCAGUGCCAGAGGGAUAUGGACACACUGGAGAGAGUCCAAUGAAGGAUCAUGAAGCUGGUUACAGGAUUGGAGCCAUCUCUUAUAGAGGGGGAAGCUGAGAGAGCUGGGACUGGUCAGGCUGAGAAGGCUCAGGGAGGAUCUCACCCCUAUGCAUAAACAUCUGAAGAAAGGAUUUGCGGGAGAUGGAGGCAAGCUCUUUUCAGUGAUGCCCAGUGCUAGGACAAGAGGCAAUGAGCAGAAGCUGAAAUGCAAUAAAUGUAUUUAAACUCCAGAAAAAAAUGCUCGACUGUGAGGGUGGUCAAGCACUGCAGCAGGCUGCCCAGAGAGGGGAAUGGAAAACACUGCUCCAUCCUUGGAGACAUUCAGCAUCAACUGGACAUGACCCUGGGCAAUCUGUCCUAGCUGACCUGCUUUGGGCAGGAUGAUCUCCAGAGGUCCCCACCAGUCUUAUCCAGCCUUAUCAGUCUGUGAUUCCCAUGUUACCUGGCUUCAAUUUGUCAUGAUUUUUAUAUCUUCAUUCAGUGAUUGAUAGAAUGACUUUUUUAGUGAAUUACAGUUUUUUGUUGGUAAGAAGCAUGUGAUAAACCAGACUUUGUCAGCUCUCAGCCCAAACAGAAAAAUCUACAGCUCUUCACAGAGAUUAAACACUGCAGCUACUACAUGUAAACAGCAAGUCUGGAAAGAAUUACCCUGGAAUAAUUAGACAUUUGUAGGAAAAUGUCACAGAACAAAUAGAAACAUUAUUCUUACAUGUUCAUUCUGACAGGUUCAUGCUUACAGGACUGUGAACAAACAAACAUUCUGACUGGUUCAUGCUUACAGGACUGUGAAGAACCUCCUGGGGAGACUCUUUUUCAAAUUCAGUUUCCUUAUCAAAAAUAUUCAAUUAAAGCAAAUCCAGGACAUGAAGAAAUCCACGGAGGGAUGGGAAAGAUUUCCCAGUUCACCUGGGGUGUCAGCAAAGCCCUUUCCAGGCAAUGGUCUCAUGCUCCACCCUCAGGAGAGCAGUCCAAGCAGGUUGGGUCAGAGCUUGCAAGGAGUGCCUUGGUGUCUCUGAGGUGUGAUCCUGCAGAAGCAGCUAUUUCAUGCUAAAAAUAUGUAUUUUUAGCACAGCAGCUUGCAGCCUCAUGCUGAGAGGAAGAAGCUGAGCCAAGGGAGGGAGGGCUGAUGCUGCAAGGUCUGUGGCAGGCAGAACAGAUGCAUAAUUUCAUGCUGUAAGAAAUCACCACCUUAUACAAGCUGCCUCCUUUAUCCCUCCCACCACUCUUGGUGGCAUUUUUCUUUCUAGAAAGCGAGCCUACCACAUAGAAAAAGCAAUUUAUCUUCUCCUUUUAGGAGAUGUUUUUGCUGGCAGAGCCAGAGCUCUUCUUUGCUUUCCAUAGUUUCCCAAGCACUUGUGGUGGAACAUUUCUAAACAGCCUCAAGCGGAGCCCAUGAGCCCAGUGAUUGUGGGCUGGGAGCAGAUCCCUGCUGGGGAGAAGAGCUCAGCCUUGCCAGCCCCUGCAGCUCUGCUGGUGCAGGGCCAUGUGCCCCAGGAGCAGGACAAGCCUGUGGUGCCACGUGGAGCUCCAGGAGCAGCCAUGGGAAGGCUUGGCUGUGCUGCAGCUGAGCAGUAAAUGAUAUUUUCUGACAAGGAACAGCAGUUGUGAAGUUUGGUCUUCUGUGCUGCACUGGAGUCAUCCAAAAUUAUGAUCUACAGCUCCACCCCACCCACUGAGCUGCUGCUCCUGGGAGCAGACCACCCAAACUCUCUCUCAGUGCUUUACAGGCUCCUGCAAGGCCAUGUCCAGGCUGUCCCUACACACUGGGGGAUGGAGAGAUUUCCAACAGACCCUUUGCCAUCACCCAGGACUGGUUAUGUUUAAACUCCAUGCAGAUAAAAGCUUUUUCUAUAAUGCUGGGGAUAAACUCAAAAUCUAAACAGGAGAGAGUGUUUUGCUGUCUUCUGACUGUCAGGACUUCCCUUUCCCAGUUGUUGAAUAUACAGAAGAGAGACAACAUUAAUCCAGAAUGUGGAAUUAGCACCAGAGUGUAUAACUGGUGCAGCUGUCCAGCACUGACCAAGCUGGCAGGUGACAAAGUAUACAGAGAGCAGGAAUUAUUUAUCUCAAUAAAAAGCCUACCUGAGGCUUUCCCCAGCACAAAGGAGAGAGGAAAGUAAAUUUCAGAGAUAGCUGAGAGCAGGCCAGAAGAUGGCACAUGGCCCAGGCCCUGCCUUGUGUGAUUUUAACAUGAUGAAAAGUGUGAAUCAAAAGGCAGAGAAGCACAAGAGGUCACAAGGCAGCACCUGAGUUCCAGGGGACCUGCAGAGGGCUCACAGUGGGAUGCUCUGUCCCCAGCUGCAGAGGAAGCCAUGGAUGCACAUCACCAUUUGGUGUGUCCCUACCUCCCUGCCAGGCUCCCAGAAAGUGAGAGCAACAACGGAGCUAUUUGUUGGAUCAGUUGGAUCAAGUUUCCAGACAACUUCCUGUUCUUCCAGAUAUACACUGGCUCAUUUACAGGAACAGAGACCAAACUGGAACAGACAACUGGCUCACCAGACCUGCUGGCCACUCACCACAGCGUGAUGCUUCAGCAGAGGACAUGCUCCCUUUCCUCUUCCCUGCAUAAACUAGUCUGUAAUUGAAUUUUUUUGGUGAAUUUUCAAAGUUGCUGAAAAGAUUUGGGACUCAGCACUGGAGCCCUUUGAAAACUGAAGUUCAUUUACAUACAGAUGUUUCUCAGUGUCAGAAUGUGGUGCUCUGGUCUGUGUUGGCAUGCAUUUCACAUUAGAGUGCAGCAACAGAAAUCAAGAUCCCCUCCCAUAAUUAUUCUUUAUGUCUUUCUUCAUGAUCAAGAACAAUCAAGAUCCUCAGCCAGAGACUGCUGUGGAAAGGCAUUAAGCUACAGAUACUUCCACAAACACUGUCUAGGGCUUUAGCCCUGCUAGAAGAGAAAUCUCACCUCUGGGCAGGUACAUCAUGUACAUGUACAUCAACUACUGCAAGGAACUCAUAUUGGAACAGCAAGACUGAGCAUUUCUAAAGGCUUUCUCCUUGGCACAGAGACAGACUUUAAUUGCAGAGCUUGGGGAAAGAGUAAAUGAGCUGUUUAAUGGGAAAAAUUAAACCUCCUCAUACACCGACAAUGUCCAGCUCUGCUAGCUAGACAGCAAGUAUUUGACAGCAAACUGUUCAUAGAUUACUUCCAUCAGCAGAACAAUUUAAGUUAUAUCAGAAUAGGUUUUUUUGCUGUCAUGCUUCCCAUUCCCAGACAUCUUUGUAAAGUCUGCAAACAGAGAUGCCAACAUAUCCCAUUCUGACCUACAUAGCAAACAAUUGGACUUGUGUUCCUGCUGUGUUAUCACCAAAAUGAAUCAUUGUCAUGUCUCCUCAAAGGCCUGGCAAGAUGGAGACUUUUUUGCUGGGAAGUGUCAGCUGAACCCUGCACCUACUGCUCUCAUGACACCAACUGCAUACUUUGUGUUUAUCACAGAAAAGAAAAACAUCCAGCAGAAAAAGGCUCAGCUUUAAAUUUCACUCUUUGCCAGGAAAAACAUGGGAACAAGUGAAGCACAGCUCUGAAAGCUCUAGCUUAAUAAACUCCAAGGACAACAAAAACAACAAAAAAAUCAUCAAUCUUUUAUGAAAAACAGAAUAAAGAUGCUAGAUAAAAACACACACAAGCCCAUACAUUGCACAAGUCUGAGGAACAGAAAUGGCCAUGCUAUAGCAUUAUUGUU